GAUGAACGCUGGCGGCGUGCCUAAUACAUGCGAGUCGAGCGAACGGACGAGAAGCUUGCUUCUCUGAUGUUAGCGGCGGACGGGUGAGUAACACGUGGAUAACCUACCUAUAAGACGGAGAUAACUUCGGGAAACCGGAUCUAAUACCGGAUGAUAUUUUGAACCGCAUGGUUCAAAAGUGAAAGACGGUCUUGCUGUCACUUAUAGAUGGAUCCGCGCUGCAUUCGCUAGUUGGUAAGUUAACGGCUUACGAAGGCAACGAUGCAUAGCCGACCUGAGAGGGUGAUCGGCCACCCUGGAAGUGAGACACGGUCAAGACUACUACGGGAGGCACCAGUAGGCAAUCUUCCGCAAUAGGCGAAAGCAUGACGGAGCGACGCCAAGUGAGUGAUGAAGGUCCUCGGAUCGUAAAAAUCUGUUAUUAGGGAAGAACAUCUGUGUAAGUAACUGUGCACAUCUUGACGGUAACUAAUAAGAAAGCACCGGCUAACUACGUG
rnacentral:rRNA from 1 species